AAAUUGAAGAGUUUGAUCAUGGCUCAGAUUGAACGCUGGCGGCAGGCCUAACACAUGCAAGUCGAACGGUAACAGGAAACAGCUUGCUGUUUCGCUGACGAGUGGCGGACGGGUGAGUAAUGUCUGGGAAACUGCCCGAUGGAGGGGGAUAACUACUGGAAACGGUAGCUAAUACCGCAUAACGUCGCAAGACCAAAGAGGGGGACCUUCGGGCCUCUUGCUAUCGGAUGUGCCCAGAUGGGAUUAGCUAGUAGGUGGGGUAACGGCUCACCUAGGCGACGAUCCCUAGCUGGUCUGAGAGGAUGACCAGCCACACUGGAACUGAGACACGGUCCAGACUCCUACGGGAGGCAGCAGUGGGGAAUAUUGCACAAUGGGCGCAAGCCUGAUGCAGCCAUGCCGCGUGUAUGAAGAAGGCCUUCGGGUUGUAAAGUACUUUCAGCGGGGAGGAAGGGAGUAAAGUUAAUACCUUUACUCAUUGACGUUACCCGCAGAAGAAGCACCGGCUAACUCCGUGCCAGCAGCCGCGGUAAUACGGAGGGUGCAAGCGUUAAUCGGAAUUACUGGGCGUAAAGCGCACGCAGGCGGUUUGUUAAGUCAGAUGUGAAAUCCCCGGGCUCAACCUGGGAACUGCAUCUGAUACUGGCAAGCUUGAGUCUCGUAGAGGGGGGUAGAAUUCCAGGUGUAGCGG
rnacentral:rRNA from 1 species